UACGUAGGGUGCGAGCGUUAAUCGGAAUUACUGGGCGUAAAGCGUGCGUAGGCGGUUCGUCAAGUCUGAUGUGAAAGCCCCGGGCUCAACCUGGGAACUGCAUUGGAAACUAGCGAGCUUGAGUGUGGCAGAGGGGGGUGGAAUUCCACGUGUAGCAGUGAAAUGCGUAGAGAUGUGGAGGAACACCAGUGGCGAAGGCGACUUCCUGGCCUGUUCUUGACGCUGAGGCGCGAAAGCUAGGGGAGCAAACGGG
rnacentral:rRNA from 1 species